rnacentral:lncRNA from 1 species
AUAUUUCACCUUUGGGUAAAAUAUUGACAUAUCUAGUAUGAACACUCAAGAUCAUUUAUGGAGGACUGAUACCAUCCUCGUCGAAUAGUAUUGUUAUCUUUGGGUUUAAGAUCUUAAAUUAUAAAGAUAUUCAAAACAAUCAUCCUACCCCAUCAUAUAACUAUUUGAAAUAGAUCCUUUAGGAUUAUUUAAAUCUCCUAAUUAUAUAUGUCAUCAUAAAUAUUAUUUUAUUUAAUAAUAUUUAAGAUAGUUCUAUAAUAUAUUUUAUAGAUUAUUGGUACACAUCACUUUGGUGGCUACGUGACUAUACAAAAGCACAAAAUACAGUCUAAAAUAUCCUAUAAAUGAUAAGAAUUUUAUUGUAAUUCAUAUCCCAUAAGCAUAUCAUCUCAAACUACCUUGGUAACUACUGAUCAGAUAAAACUUAGGAAGAUAAAUUACAAAUAAUAUUUACUAAAUUUUUUUAUCAUAUGAAUAUUAUUUUAUUUAAUAUCAUUUAGGACUAAUUUCAUAAUAUAUUUUAUAAAUUAUUGAUCCAAGUCACUUUGGUGUCUAUAGGAGCAAUACUAAAAUAUAAAAUAUAAUAUAAAAUAUCUUUUAAAUGAUAAAAUUUUUAUUAUAAUUCAUAUCUCAUAAAUCUAUUAUCUCAGUAACUUUGACAGCUAUCAAUCAAAUAAAAUUUAUGAAGAUAAAUUAUAAAUAAUAAUUAUAAAUUUAUUUAUCUUGAUUCAUGCUAAAAUAGUUAAAUAAUAAAAUAACAACCAUAAUAAUUAUUGAAUAUUAAUUAAUAAAAAAAACUCAUUUGAUAAUCAUGAUAAUAUAUAAAUCAUGCCUUCAUGUGAAAGAUAAACAUUCUUUCAUAAUUUUAAAAAUAUAUCCAAGAACAAUAAUUAGAUUUUAUUUACCACAUGUUAAAAAUAUAAUCAAUAAUUCAUAUAAGAAAACUAUAAAAGUAAACUAUAAUUUAUAUUUUUUUAAUCAGAAUUAAAUCCAACCAUAUAAUCAAAAUAUAAUCAUGAUUAAAUUAAAUCAUAAUUAUAAUAAAUUAUAUUUAUCAAUUUUAUAAUUAAGAAUAUAACUUAGAAUUCUCAAUUUUAAGAGUAAAAUUGUAAAUAUAUUGACAGAAAAUAAAUGAAAUUAUAAAAUUUGUAAAGGGUAAAAUUAUAAUUUGAUAAAACUCUAACCUCGAGGAUAAAACUAUAAAUAUGUCAAAAGAAUGAAAUGAUAUUAAUAAAAUAUAGAAGGGCAAAGCUAUAAUUUUACCAAAGGGAAACCCUAGAACAAUACUAUAAUUUUGCCCAUAAAUUAGAGCAAUGCUAUAAUGUUGCGCAUGCGACGUUGCCACGUCGCUGCAGCGGUUCCUACUGCGUGUGGCCGCCGCCUGGGCGCGGCUGCCACUUAGUCGUGGCUCUUGCAUGCACGCGACCGUUGUCGUUGCCCUCUGCCCACGGGGGCAGUGGUUGACGGCAUCUACGGCCACCGCCCUUUUGCAGGCGCCCCUGCGCGCACAAGUUGCCCAACGCAGCUGCUACGACGCACACGUUGCGUGGUGCAGCCUCCGCUCGCAAGCGGACCUCUGCUCGCGUGUGGCCGUGAUGCACAGCUGCAAGGUGGUACAUGGCCCUUCAGUGGGGUUGUCAACAACGAUCAACAAAGAUCAUUGUCUCAAUAACAUCGAUAGAAAACAUAAAUUCAUCGAGCAAACAUAAAAAUUAUACAUUGCUCAAAAUUAACGAUAGAGCAAAUCAUAUGAAAAAUCCAGAUCAAUAAUAUCCAACGAAUCAUUUAUGCAUCGUAAAUAAAAAUAAUAGAUCUAAUAUAUUUGAUCUCAAGAACCUAAGCUCUGAUACCAAUUAUUAGCAUAAAAUCCAUAAUUAUGCUAUCUAUAAUGCGAAAAAAUUAUUAUGUCAAUAUUUAAAUCAAAUAAAUUGGGUCUAACAAUAUUAAGAUGCAUACCUUGUUUGUUCAGAAAAAUAAACUUUAUAUGAUCACCUAGAUUGAUAGAUUAGGAAGAUUGAGAGAAAAACUUUAAUCUCUCAAUUACAUUAAGAUGCCUCGCUUUUAGCCCCUAGAGAUUCUGUCUGGACUAGGAUAAAUUAUUAGGAGAGUUUCUUCCAAGAUUAUUUCCUUAGGAAUCCUAUUUUAACAUUAACUUCUUUUCUAUUGGUUAAUAAUCAUAAUCAGAAUCUAAUUAUAUCUUAUCUAAUUAAAUAGGACCAUAUAAUCUAACUCUUUGAUGUUAUAUGUUGAAAGUAGAGAGCGAAGUGGGUCGGUCGAUGAUUUUGGAAAGAAUCGACGUUCAAGAGAAAGGCUAAAUGUGGUGUCACUUUUCAACUUAGGCUGAAUAUUUUCAAUAUGAUGAAAGUUCACUUAUCGUAGAAUAAUGUUUCAAAAACUUAUCUGAGAUAUUCUUACAUCUAAAAGACUUAUGUAUCAAAGAUUAAUGAUUCAAAAUCUUAUUUAAUUGUAAUCUCUUAAAUAUUAAUAUGAUGAUGUGUACAUAUAAUGCUUACCUAUGAUAAAUAUGAUAUGUAUGAUGAUGACAUAGACAUAAGCCAAUGCUCUAUAAAUACACUUUUCCCUCCUUCAGCGUUGUGAUCAUCUCACUUCUCACUUUCACGUUCCUUGUCCAUCCACCACCCUGGUCAUGGCUUCGUCCCCACACAGCUCCUCUCCUUUCCACCACCUCCUCGUCUUCUAGGUCUUAUAAUUUAGACCUUUUUAGGUCUCCUCUACAUUGUUAGUUGUUAUCAAGGGAGUAACUAGCAAUUUAUUGUGAUUCAUGAAUUCCUUUGCAUAGGAUGGAUUUAAUAAUGUUGCAUGAGUAAGGCUUUAUGCGGGCACAUAAACACUUCUACAAGGGUCUCCUGCUUCUGUGUAUUGUAGUUUUAUUGAUCCUGAUCUUCCAUUAGAAUUGCAUGCAUGCGAAUACAUCAGAAUGCCCUUUAAUUGAUGAAUUCUUUACCUCUGUCUUGACGAGCAGUUUCACCAGGAAUCAAACUAAUGGUGCAUGGCCUGAAGAAUGUAUGGGGAUCAAUGCGUGCAGUAGUUUCCACAGCAUGUGAGCUUAUGGUACUAACAUCAAAAGGAGCCGCUGAUGAGAAUAUUGUAGAGCAAAGACUGCUCAAGGAGCUGUGCAAACAUGGCUUUUAAUAAAAUUGACUUGGAUAGGGAGUUUUCUUGGGCUAAAAGAUUAUGACCUGUAGCAGUCCAUGGAUGAGCUUUUUGGUUGUGUAUGAUGAAUAGAUUUUUGCCUUGAGAGCAGAGCUUGAGGUUCUCGUUAGCCUGUAACUCCUUGAUUCUUUUAUCACAUGCUUUAGUGAUCCUCGAUGCCUGCAAGAUUACUGAAACUAAUAUUUGAGAUUGGUAGCCCAAUUUUUUCUCUCU